rnacentral:piRNA from 1 species
UGGAUUUAUUCUUGGUGUAAAGGAAAUAUC